GAACGCGUGGAGCAUGUGGCUUAAUUUGACUCAACGCGGGAAAUCUUACCGGGUCCGGACACACUGAGGAUUGACAGGCAAUAUCUCAUGUUAACGGUAAGUUUACUUACCGCUUAACAUCGAGUGUUAAAUAUGCUAGUCCUUUCAUGAUUAUGUGAUAGGUGGUGCAUGGCCGUUCUUAGUUCGUGGAGUGAUCUGUCUGCUUAAUUGCGUUUCACUAAGGGCCCAUAAAUUCAAGGUAUGUUAGCUCUCGUCGCUCUAUGGACCCCUUAACUCCAAUAUUCUUAUUGUGUUAAGCGCGUGUCUUUAUUUUAAGAGUUUUAAGACACUGCGCAUGCUGUUGGGCUCUGAAAGCAACGAACGUGACCGCAACGUCUUGUUGCCUUAAACUAGCGUANAUUGCAAUUUAUUGCAAUAUCGCUUACAGAGGCAUUUUAAAACUAGACG
rnacentral:rRNA from 1 species